GACGAACGCUGGCGGCGUGCCUAAUACAUGCAAGUCGAACGCAGUGGGGACGGGUGAGUAACACGUGGGCAACCUCCCAUCAGAGGGGAUAACACUUGGAAACAGGCGCUAAACCGCUACUGAAGGAUGGACCCGCGGUGCAUUAGCUGGUUGGUGAGGUAACGGCUCACCAAGGCCACGAUGCAUAGCCGACCUGAGAGGAUGAUCAGCCACACUGGGACUGAGACACGGCCCAGACUCCUACGGGAGGCAGCAGUGGGGAAUCUUCGGCAAUGGACGAAAGUCUGACCGAGCAACGCCGCGUGAGUGAAGAAGGUUUUCGGAUCGUAAAACUCUGUUGUUAGGGAGGCGGUAUCUAACCAGAAAGCCACGGCUAACUACGUGCCAGCAGCCGCGGUAAUUC
rnacentral:rRNA from 1 species